AGCGUGAGUUUGCCUCCCGCAAGUCCUCGCCGUGAGCUCCUGCCCCGCCUGGGCGGAGAGGGCAGAGUCUGGGAGCCCCUAGGCCUGCAGGACCCAGGUCGACUUGGAGACGCUGCCCACCUGCUAUUGGGAGGAUCCUCUUCUCUGCGGAAGGACACCCGUGGGCGUGCAAGAGACAGCACCCUCCUCGGCUCUGGAAAGUCAGCGGGAGCCCCGAGUCCUCCCGAGGCGGGUCACUCUGCCCCUGGACCCUGUAACCAUGCUCCUAAACUACUCAGAAUCCUUGGCAGGGCCAUGCCAGUCCCCCUUGAGAGCAGCUGAGAGCACUUCCUGGAAGACAGAUUGGACAGAGCAUCUGCGGCUUCAGCACGACACACUGUUAUUGAUGUGACAAUCCCGGAGGGGCGGCCGCGGAGAAGCACAUCGGACGUACUCCAAAUUCAUAAACAAAAGUGCUCUG
rnacentral:lncRNA from 12 species